UACAGAGGCCUCGAGCGUUAGGCGGAAUCACUGGGCUUAAAGCGUGUGUAGGUGGAUGCCUAAGUACCUUGUGAAAUCCCACGGCUUAACCGUGGAACUGCUGGGUAUACUGGGGUGUCUUGAGCCACUCAGGGGGCUACCGGAACAAAAUGGUGGAGCGGUGAAAUGCGUAGAUAUCAUUUGGAACGCCAAUGGGUGAAAACAGGUAGCUGGGGGUGUGCUGACACUG
rnacentral:rRNA from 1 species